rnacentral:rRNA from 1 species
GAUGAACGCUGGCGGCGUGCCUAAUACAUGCAAGUCGAGCGAUCAGACGAGGAGCUUGCUCCUCUGACGUUAGCGGCGGACGGGUGAGUAACACGUGGAUAACCUACCUAUCAGACUGGGAUAACUUCGGGAAACCGGAGCUAAUCCCGGAUAAUAUAUUGAACCGUAUGGUUCAAUAGUGAAAGACGGUUUUGUUGUCACUUAUAGAUGGAUCCGAGCCGCAUUAGCUAGUUGGUAAGGUACCGGCUUACCAAGGCAACGGUGCGUAGCCGAGCUGAGAGGGUGCCGGGCUGAACGGGAGAUCAGACACGGUCCAAACGCGAACGGGAGGAGACAGUAGGGAAUCUUCGGAGAUGGGCGAAUGCCAGACGGGGCAACAGCGCGAGGGUGAUGAGGGGCUUCCGAUAGUAAGGCUCUGUUGUUAUGAAAGGACAUAUGUAGAAAUAACUAGGCUCGGCUUGACGGUACCUGAACAGAAAGCAACGGCUAACUACGUG